rfam:Phytophthora parasitica INRA-310 unplaced genomic scaffold supercont2.31, whole genome shotgun sequence.
GCCCACAUAGCUCAAUGGUCGAGCGUUGGCAUUGAAAGCCAUAGGUCGGUGGCUUGAUCCCGUUGGGGCA